rnacentral:rRNA from 1 species
GCACAAGCGGUGGAUGAUGUGGUUUAAUUCGAUGCAACGCGAAAACCUUACCCACCUUUGACAUGUACGGAACCCUUUAGGGAUAGAGGGGUGCUCGAAAGAGAGCCGUAACACAGGUGCUGCAUGGCUGUCGUCAGCUCGUGUCGUGAGAUGUUGGGUUAAGUCCCGCAACGAGCGCAACCCUUGUCAUUAGUUGCUACAUUCAGUUGGGCACUCUAAUGAGACUGCCGGUGACAAGCCGGAGGAAGGUGGGGAUGACGUCAAGUCCUCAUGGCCCUUAUAGGUGGGGCUACACACGUCAUACAAUGGCUGGUACAAAGGGUUGCCAACCCGCGAGGGGGAGCCAAUCCCAUAAAGCCAGUCGUAGUCCGGAUCGUAGUCUGCAACUCGACUACGUGAAGUCGGAAUCGCUAGUAAUCGUGGAUCAGAAUGUCACGGUGAAUACGUUCCCGGGUCUU